rnacentral:rRNA from 1 species
GAGUUUGAUCCUGGCUCAGAACGAACGCUGGCGGCGUGCUUAACACAUGCAAGUCGAACGUGAUCCGGAGCUUGCUCCGGUGAAAGUGGCGCACGGGUGAGUAACGCGUGGAUAAUCUGCCCUGGUAUCUGGGAUAACAUCUCGAAAGGGGUGCUAAUACCGGAUAAGCCUACGGAUUCCUCGGAGUCUGCAGGAAAAGGUGGCCUCUAUUUAUAAGCUACCGUAUCAUGAUGGGUCCGCGUACCAUUAGCUAGUUGGUGGGGUAAUGGCCUACCAAGGCGACGAUGGUUAGCUGGUCUGAGAGGAUGAUCAGCCACACUGGAACUGAGACACGGUCCAGACUCCUACGGGAGGCAGCAGUGGGGAAUUUUGCGCAAUGGGGGAAACCCUGACGCAGCAACGCCGCGUGAGUGAUGAAGGCUUUCGGGUCGUAAAGCUCUGUCAGAGGGGAAGAAAUGAAACGUGCUAAUAUCACGUUUUCUUGACGGUACCCUCAAAGGAAGCACCGGCUAACUCCGUGCCAGCAGCCGCGGUAAUACAAGGGCKWAUUGYCAASAWAUCYAUCMWUCCUUUMRKRGGGGGSCMGCRGGRAAAACAGGRUCGGAKUAAAKUCGCAAGAAUUWYA